rnacentral:lncRNA from 1 species
GCAUGCUUCAGAUAACAUUUUGAAUCGGAAAAAAGACCGAACGACCAGGAUCAAUAAAAUGCAAUUGGUGAGUGGUUGACAUAGUAUAAAUAGGAAUACAUGACAAUAACCUCGUUCAGUUAGAGCUAAAAUAGCUGGGCGUCGUGUUUCAAAUCUGUUAGCACUUAGCUGAUUGUUCUGUGGUACUUUUCGACGAAAUUUGUUAUCAUAAAACAACAAUACGUGAUACUUACAUGCAUGUGUAAACGUGAUUUGUAACAUUAUUGUAUAGGAAAAAUCUUACGGGCAGAUUCGGUUUGCGUCACAUGCACAAAGACAUUGUUCAUUCUGUAUAUUGUGAAGCAAAUACCAGAAUUUUUUGGGAAGUCCAUCGUGCCCCAGUCUCCUCUACAACUAUGGCAUAUGGUAAAACACUGUCAAGUAGUGAGUGAGCGCACGAGCACAAAAACCAGUUACACUAGGCAUCCGACCUCGAGCGAGCUUUAGCGAGCAAGGGUUUUAAAGCUAGUUAUUUUCGAUUCGUACACUAUUUUAUUAUCGACGUACCAAAAUAACCGAAAAAACCGUGAUAUCAUAUUAAUCGUCGAGCUCAAACGUAGAAAGUAACAAUUUGUACUAAGAAAAUUCUGAACGGAAAUGAAUGUGACUUAACGUUUGUUUCUGAGUUUUUUCGUUCAUCGAUGAUGAAAAUAUAUGUCAAUUCAAAGUAAUUUUAGUGUUUCCAUUUUAGCUAAAAAUUACGCACUCCGACUUUCCUGCCAAUUCGAGAUUCCAAUGGCAAAGCGCUUCAAUGGUCAGCUAAUAACUCCGCCAUUUUGCGACAAUUGAUGAUAAGCCAAUUUUUCUGGUACUGUCCAAAUUAUUCGAGGUAUAUUUAUUAGUACCGAGGUGGUAAUCGGUGGUCGGAGGUGGAUGAGGAGGAGGAGGAGGAAGACGAGGAGAACAAGGUGGACGAGGAGGACGAGGAUUUGUGCUCGGUAUAAUCCGAGGUGGUUAUCGG